rnacentral:rRNA from 1 species
UACGGGGGGGGUAAGCGUUGUUCGGAAUUACUGGGCGUAAAGGGUCUGUAGGUGGCCAACUAAGUCAGACGUGAAAUCCCUCAGCUUAACUCCGAAACUGCAUUCGAUACUGCCGUGCUUGAGGACUGGAGAGGAGACUGGAAUUUACGGUGUAGCGGUGAAAUGCGUAGAUAUCGUAAGGAAGACCAGUGGCGAAGGCGGGUCUCUGGACAGUUCCUGACGCUGAGGCACGAAGGUCAGGGGAGCAAACGGG